rnacentral:lncRNA from 1 species
AGUCAACUCUGAAUGCCUGUUGGUCUUAAGCUGCAAAAGGAGAGUAUGAAUGAAUUUGCCCAACAUAAACUCCCAGAGAUGAAGGAGAUAGUGAAUGUUGAAAAAUGUCUGAUAGUGAAGAUUUGGCAGAUAUAAAAGAUAACAAAAUAAAGCAACUGUUGCAGUCACUCAAUGAGGAGUUAACUGAAAAGGAACUGGAGGAACUAAUCAGAUCUAGUGAGGAAGAGGAUAAUGACAAAGAAGACAAAGAUAAAAAGAGUAAAAUAACUCCUAACCUAAACAAACUGACUACUAAUGGCAAAUAUUCUUG